UACGUAGGGACCAAGCGUUGUUCGGAUUUACUGGGCGUAAAGAGCUCGUAGGCGGUCUGUCGCGUCUGCUGUCGAAAACUCAGGGCUUAACCCUGAGCUUGCAGUGGGUACGGGCAGACUAGAGUGCGGUAGGGGAGACUGGAAUUCCUGGUGUAGCGGUGAAAUGCGCAGAUAUCAGGAGGAACACCGGUGGCGAAGGCGGGUCUCUGGGGCCGU
rnacentral:rRNA from 1 species